CUACGUGCCAGCAGCCGCGGUAAUACGUAGGGUGCGAGCGUUAAUCGGAAUUACUGGGCGUAAAGCGAGCGCAGACGGUUACUUAAGCAGGAUGUGAAAUCCCCGGGCUCAACCUGGGAACUGCGUUCUGAACUGGGUGACUAGAGUGUGUCAGAGGGAGGUAGAAUUCCACGUGUAGCAGUGAAAUGCGUAGAGAUGUGGAGGAAUACCGAUGGCGAAGGCAGCCUCCUGGGAUAACACUGACGUUCAUGCUCGAAAGCGUGGGUAGCAAACAGGAUUAGAUACCCUGGUAGUCCACGCCCUAAACGAUGUCAAUUAGCUGUUGGGCAACUUGAUUGCUUAGUAGCGUAGCUAACGCGUGAAAUUGACCGCCUGGGGAGUACGGUCGCAAGAUUAAAACUCAAAGGAAUUGACGGGGACCCGCACAAGCGGUGGAUGAUGUGGAUUAAUUCGAUGCAACGCGAAGAACCUUACCUGG
rnacentral:rRNA from 1 species